ensembl:lncRNA
CUGUGGUUCAUGGUCUGGCUGGGUGUCACCAUCAUAGGACAGCCCUUGCACUGCCUGGGAUUGCACCUUGGGCUGAGCCAAUCUUUCGUUCUGCUUGGGGAAGAAUAACAGCCGGGUUUCUCCAUAAAACAACAUCUCAGUUCAGAUGGGGACCCUGGCAGUAGCUCAGCACCUGUGUACUUGACUACUUACUGCUGACAAGCCCUGUUGCCGGUAAUCUAGAUUUAUGGUCCUUUGCUCCACCUUGGCUGCCGCACCAGCUGAUACAUGCUGCAGGGUGCACUUGCAUUCACCCUCCUGAUGACAUCCAGACUGCUGCAUUUGCUGCAUUAGGUUUAGAAUCAUAGAAUCAUUAACGUUGGAGAAGAUCAUCCUGUACAACCAUCAGCCCACUAAUCCAUGAUCCUCAGUUUCAGUUCUGCUUUUGUUGUUGGACUGGCUGAAGCCUUUCUCCCACAUACAGCAGGCAGACCUGUCCAGUCUAGGAACAACUUUCGCCAUCCUACACUUACAAAAAUAAUGUUUUGACUCUGUCUGUGGAACGACCACUUUGCUGUGGGCAGCAGAAAUUUUUUACAGGUGGCGGCAAUACCACAUUGAGCAGUUUGGUGGUUUUAGAAAGGCAAUAAAAAAGCCUAACUUCUUAGUGGAAAAAAUAGGUUGGCCUUAACAUUUUAACCUAAUACUGUCAGACAUGUCGAACCAGAAAUAACACUCCUAAAGCCCUGACGUGCUCUCUUGCGAUUCUGUUUGCGUAGCAAAGUGGCACAAAUAGUGACAUGCCAGGCUUGUGGGCGCUGCAGUCAUACAGGUUUUCCCUAUAAUUAUUGGCUGUUAAUAAUAGUAAUCGUACAACUUUUUUUUAUUUUUUUCCAAAGGUAGUGAGCAAGCAGAAAGCUCCCCCCAUCCCAAAUUUGGAAGGAAAAGCAGGCCAGUGAGCAAGGUGCCUGAGUAUGGAGAUGGGAGGCUGAGUGUGCUGGCCAUGCCAUCCAAUGGAAUGGAGAGUAUUGGAGAAACAAGCCAAAACAAAUCAAAGACGGUUCAAAAAAGGCAACAUAAAGUUUUCAUUUCCAAACAGUUUUAAUUCACUGUUUGUGCUCUUUACUGAGAAUAUGCAAUGAACACAAACAUUCCCAUAUGAAUUAAAUUACAAUUUACAUAUGAAUUACAUUAGAAAUAUGAGCUACACUAAAGAGAUAAUUAGUGCUGUCCUGGGUUAUGUGAGCGCAAACAAAAUUAAAUAAGAACAAUUUCAAAGCCAAGUUUUGCUUUGCCUUUUCAACUAAGCCGGUUUAAUCAGCGAUAAUGACUGAAAUAAAUCCACUCCGUGUAAAACAAUGCACAAGGCGGCAGACUGUGUGAAAUGCCAUUACUAAGUCCUGUGCCUGGGUAAAUCACGCCGCCAAGCAGGAGCACAAUGGCACAGAGGCC